GAGGAAGGUGGGGAUGACGUCAAGUCCUCAUGGCCUUUAUGUCCAGGGCUACACACGUGCUACAAUGGCCGGUACAAACCGCUGCAAACCCGCGAGGGUGAGCCAAUCGGAUAAAGCCGGCCUCAGUUCGGAUUGUAGUCUGCAACUCGACUACAUGAAGCUGGAAUCGCUAGUAAUCGCGGAUCAGCAUGCCGCGGUGAAUACGUUCCCGGGCCUUGUACACACCGCCCGUCACAUCACGAAAGUGGGUUGUACUAGAAGCAGGUGAGCUAACCGCAAGGAAGCAGCCUUCCAAGGUGUGAUUCAUGAUUGGGGUGAAGUCGUAACAAGGUAGCCGUAA
rnacentral:rRNA from 1 species